rnacentral:rRNA from 1 species
AUUGAACGCUGGCGGCAGGCUUAACACAUGUAAGUCGAGCGGGGUGAUGGUGCUUGCACUAUCACUUAGCGGCGGACGGGUGAGUAAUGCUUAGGAAUCUGCCUAUUAGUGGGGGACAACAUCUCGAAAGGGAUGCUAAUACCGCAUACGUCCUACGGGAGAAAGCAGGGGAUCACUUGUGACCUUGCGCUAAUAGAUGAGCCUAAGUCGGAUUAGCUAGAUGGUGGGGUAAAGGCCUACCAAGGCGACGAUCUGUAGCGGGUCUGAGAGGAUGAUCCGCCACACUGGGACUGGGACACGGCCCAGACUCCUACGGGAGGCAGCAGUGGGGAAUAUUGGACAAUGGGGGGAACCCUGAUCCAGCCAUGCCGCGUGUGUGAAGAAGGCCUUAUGGUUGUAAAGCACUUUAAGCGAGGAGGAGGCUCUUUUGGUUAAUACCCAAGAUGAGUGGACGUUACUCGCAGAAUAAGCACCGGCUAACUCUGUGCCAGCCGCCGCCGUAA